rnacentral:rRNA from 1 species
CACUCUAGAGAGACUGCCAGGGAUAACCUGGAGGAAGGUGGGGAUGACGUCAAAUCAUCAUGCCCCUUAUGCUUAGGGCUACACACGUGCUACAAUGGGUAGUACAGAGGGUUGCCAAGCCGUAAGGCGGAGCUAAUCCCUUAAAGCUACUCUCAGUUCGGAUUGUAGGCUGAAACUCGCCUACAUGAAGCUGGAGUUACUAGUAAUCGCAGAUCAGAAUGCUGCGGUGAAUGCGUUCCCGGGUCUUGUACACACCGCCCGUCACACCACGGGAGUUGGAGACGCCCGCAGCCGAUUAUCUAACCUUUUGGAAGAAGUCGUCGAAGGUGGAAUUAAUAACUGGGGUGAAGUCGUAACAAGGUAGCCGUAUCGGAAGGUGCGGCUGGAUCACCUCCUUUCUAAGGAGA